rnacentral:rRNA from 1 species
GCUUACGGCCACACCGCCUGGUUCACGCCCGAUCUCGUUUGAUCUCGGAAGCUAAGAUAGGUUUGGCCUGGUUAGUACUUGGAUGGGAGACCGCCUAGGAAUACCAGGUGCUGUAAGGC